rnacentral:rRNA from 1 species
AUGUCUGAAAUACAAGAAGAGAAUCCUGCUUUAUCUGAAGAUUGGUUCAUCAGGUGCUAUAUUAACGGAUUGAGAGAGGGUAUUAAGUACCAAAUGAGGCCAUUAAGACCUGCAACUCUGACUGAUGCUUUUUGUUUAGCUAGAGAUGUAGAACCUUGUCACCCUCCAGUGGUUCAUCAGAGGAAGUCCAGUGCGUCAUACAAUAAUUACUAUCAAAAGCAAUAUACACCUUCAGCAGCAAAAACUUCCAACACUUCUACAAUGGUGCAGAACACUAACAGUAACAAGCAUACUAAAAACAUCAACACCAACAUUCAGAGGAUAAGGAAAGUGAGAGAAUGUUGGAGAUGUGGAGAUAAGUGGGUUCAUGGACACAAAUGCACUUUAGUUCCUAAUGUUCACAUGUUGCAACAGGAGGUGGAGGAGAAUGGUCCAACUGAUGUUGAAACUGAACCAGAAAAUCAAGAAGAAAUGGCAGAGCAAUCUGAACAAGCAAUGUUCAUUUCCUCUCAUGUAAUGGGCCAACACUUAACUACACAAUGCCAUAUAAUGAUUAUAUCUCUUAAUGGAAAAAGAGCAGUAGCCCUACUGGAUUCUGGUAGUUCCUCCCCUUUAUAA